UGAUGACGAAUUCUCCGGAAUCUCUGUAAAUCUGUGAUGAAGCCUUUUAACCCCUUUUCUGAUGACUGCUGCUGAUCAAU